rnacentral:rRNA from 1 species
GGGUUGUGAGGUUAAGCGACUAAGCGUACACGGUGGAUGCCCUGGCAGUCAGAGGCGAUGAAGGACGUGCUAAUCUGCGAAAAGCGUCGGUAAGGUGAUAUGAACCGUUACAGCCGGCGAUGUCCGAAUGGGGAAACCCAGUGCAAUUCGUUGCACUAUCGUUAACUGAAUACAUAGGUUAACGAGGCGAACCGGGGGAACUGAAACAUCUAAGUACCCCGAGGAAAAGAAAUCAACCGAGAUUCCCCCAGUAGCGGCGAGCGAACGGGGAGCAGCCCAGAGUCUGAAUCAGCUUGUGUGUUAGUGGAACGGUCUGGAAAGUCCGACGGUACAGGGUGAUAGUCCCGUACACCAAAAUGCACAGGUUGUGAACUCGAAGAGUAGGGCGGGACACGUGGUAUCCUGUCUGAAUAUGGGGGGACCAUCCUCCAAGGCUAAAUACUCCUGACUGACCGAUAGUGAACCAGUACCGUGAGGGAAAGGCGAAAAGAACCCCGGCGAGGGGAGUGAAAAAGAACCUGAAACCGUGUACGUACAAGCAGUGGGAGCACCUUCGGGUGUGACUGCGUACCUUUUGUAUAAUGGGUCAGCGACUUAUAUUCUGUAGCAAGGUUAACCGUAUAGGGGAGCCGCAGGGAAACCGAGUCUUAACUGGGCGUUAAGUUGCAGGGUAUAGACCCGAAACCCGGUGAUCUAGCCAUGGGCAGGUUGAAGGUUGGGUAACACUAACUGGAGGACCGAACCGACUAAUGUUGAAAAAUUAGCGGAUGACUUGUGGCUGGGGGUGAAAGGCCAAUCAAACCGGGAGAUAGCUGGUUCUCCCCGAAAGCUAUUUAGGUAGCGCCUCGUGAAUUCAUCUUCGGGGGUAGAGCACUGUUUCGGCUAGGGGGUCAUCCCGACUUACCAACCCGAUGCAAACUACGAAUACCGAAGAAUGUUAUCACGGGAGACACACGGCGGGUGCUAACGUCCGUCGUGAAGAGGGAAACAACCCAGACCGCCAGCUAAGGUCCCAAAGUCAUGGUUAAGUGGGAAACGAUGUGGGAAGGCACAGACAGCCAGGAUGUUGGCUUAGAAGCAGCCAUCAUUUAAAGAAAGCGUAAUAGCUCACUGGUCGAGUCGGCCUGCGCGGAAGAUGUAACGGGGCUAAACCAUGCACCGAAGCUGCGGCAGCGACACUAUGUGUUGUUGGGUAGGGGAGCGUUCUGUAAGCCUGCGAAGGUGUGCUGUGAGGCAUGCUGGAGGUAUCAGAAGUGCGAAUGCUGACAUAAGUAACGAUAAAGCGGGUGAAAAGCCCGCUCGCCGGAAGACCAAGGGUUCCUGUCCAACGUUAAUCGGGGCAGGGUGAGUCGACCCCUAAGGCGAGGCCGAAAGGCGUAGUCGAUGGGAAACAGGUUAAUAUUCCUGUACUUGGUGUUACUGCGAAGGGGGGACGGAGAAGGCUAUGUUAGCCGGGCGACGGUUGUCCCGGUUUAAGCAUGUAGGCUGGUUGUCCAGGCAAAUCCGGAUAAUCAAGGCUGAGGUGUGAUGACGAGGCACUACGGUGCUGAAGUAACAAAUGCCCUGCUUCCAGGAAAAGCCUCUAAGCAUCAGGUAACAUUAAAUCGUACCCCAAACCGACACAGGUGGUCAGGUAGAGAAUACCAAGGCGCUUGAGAGAACUCGGGUGAAGGAACUAGGCAAAAUGGUGCCGUAACUUCGGGAGAAGGCACGCUGGUGUGUAGGUGAAGUCCCUGCGGAUGGAGCUGAGACCAGUCGAAGAUACCAGCUGGCUGCAACUGUUUAUUAAAAACACAGCACUGUGCAAACACGAAAGUGGACGUAUACGGUGUGACGCCUGCCCGGUGCCGGAAGGUUAAUUGAUGGGGUUAUCCGUAAGGAGAAGCUCUUGAUCGAAGCCCCGGUAAACGGCGGCCGUAACUAUAACGGUCCUAAGGUAGCGAAAUUCCUUGUCGGGUAAGUUCCGACCUGCACGAAUGGCGUAAUGAUGGCCAGGCUGUCUCCACCCGAGACUCAGUGAAAUUGAACUCGCUGUGAAGAUGCAGUGUACCCGCGGCAAGACGGAAAGACCCCGUGAACCUUUACUAUAGCUUGACACUGAACAUUGAGCCUUGAUGUGUAGGAUAGGUGGGAGGCUUUGAAGCGUGGACGCCAGUCUGCGUGGAGCCAACCUUGAAAUACCACCCUUUAAUGUUUGAUGUUCUAACGUUGGCCCCUUACCGGGGUUGCGGACAGUGUCUGGUGGGUAGUUUGACUGGGGCGGUCUCCUCCCAAAGCGUAACGGAGGAGCACGAAGGUUAGCUAAUCCUGGUCGGACAUCAGGAGGUUAGUGCAAUGGCAUAAGCUAGCUUGACUGCGAGCGUGACGGCGCGAGCAGGUGCGAAAGCAGGUCAUAGUGAUCCGGUGGUUCUGAAUGGAAGGGCCAUCGCUCAACGGAUAAAAGGUACUCCGGGGAUAACAGGCUGAUACCGCCCAAGAGUUCAUAUCGACGGCGGUGUUUGGCACCUCGAUGUCGGCUCAUCACAUCCUGGGGCUGAAGUAGGUCCCAAGGGUAUGGCUGUUCGCCAUUUAAAGUGGUACGCGAGCUGGGUUUAGAACGUCGUGAGACAGUUCGGUCCCUAUCUGCCGUGGGCGCUGGAGAAUUGAGGGGGGCUGCUCCUAGUACGAGAGGACCGGAGUGGACGCAUCACUGGUGUUCGGGUUGUCAUGCCAAUGGCACUGCCCGGUAGCUAAAUGCGGAAGAGAUAAGUGCUGAAAGCAUCUAAGCACGAAACUUGCCCCGAGAUGAGUUCUCCCUGAGACUUUAAGUCUCCUGAAGGAACGUUAAAGACGAUGACGUUGAUAGGCCGGGUGUGUAAGCGCAGCGAUGCGUUGAGCUAACCGGUACUAAUGAACCGUGAGGCUUAACCUUACAACGCCGAAG